rnacentral:lncRNA from 1 species
GCAGGACUGUGGGCCAGUGCCAGAGCCAGGCUUGUCUGUUCUCAAAGGAUCAGCCUCCUUUGGAGGACAUUUUGUGUCAAGGAUAGGGCUGAGGACCUGCGUUCUGAACGUCUUUCCUGGGAUUCUUGACAGCCAAAGAAAUUCGAGGAUCGCCUCUAUGAAGGUGCCAGGGAAACGGAGUCAUCGACCCAAGAAGGUCGUGGGAGAUGAGGUCCCAGGGUAAACAGCGGGUCCCGCCACUAUGUCACCCUUUCCUGCCGCCUCCCCGGAUGAACUGCAUGCAGGGCGGCCGG